CCUAGGGGAUAGAAAGGGGACCCUCAGACGCCACACGGGGCUUGGUGGCAGGUCCCUCCUAAGGCCCCACUUCUGAGGGAAUCACAGACACACACGGGUGCCAAUGGGGUUCGGCAGAACUGGGGUCUGUGGCUCCUUCCAGAGAGUGCUUAGUGGGCAGCUGCUGUCUUCUCGAUGCUGUAACCAGCUGCCCCCUCCCACAGGGACACUGGGAGUGGCAGGGCUGCUGUAGCUGUCACUGAGUGCAGGGCAUGGAGCAUGAGCACUGGCGCCAGGCCAGCCUGGGCUAGGAUCCACCUGCUGCGGGCAAGCGCCUGCAUCCCUGAGCCCAGGCCCCGGUCUGUCUCAUGGGGCAGCAGUGCCUUCUACAGCAAGUCAGUGGGAGAUGGGAGUGGAUACUCCAUGGAAACCUGGCCGGCAGUCAGGGAGGAGCUCGCCACCCGGCCCGGCCUUCUCCGCAGCCAGUUCUCCUCGGCUCCUGCGGGGCAGCCCACAUGCACCAGGGGUGGUGCUGGCCGUGAGGAGGGGAGCAGAGCUGAGCCAGGCAGCCACAGGGAGUUGCCCAGGUUGUAGCGUGGGCAGCUGCCUCAGCUAUUGUGAAAGUUGCACGUGGCUGACACACAAAACGCGUGAGUCACGGCGAGGUCCAGUUUGUGUCCCAUGAACUAGCCCGGUAAUUUCCCAGUUCUCUAAGGAGUCAAGUUUUCUGGAAAAUGAGCUUCCAUAUAAUUGAAAUUUAUGCUGUUUUCCUUUAACAACUUGAGAUAGAUAGAAAAGUCUGAAGUACCUCACACUUUUCUUUUCCAUUCAGGGUGUACUGAAUCACAGGCUUCCUUCGCCUCUCGGAGUCACUUUUAGUAUUAGUCACUAAUGAGGCCAUUUGGGAAGGAGAACCCCCAGCCCUUCCCUGGGCAGUUCAGGUGCCUCUGCUCUGUCCUCGGCCCCCUGCAGCCCAUUCACAAGCCUGGUCCAAAGCGUCACUUGUCAUGUGACUCUGCUCUUGGACAUCAGCCAAGGGAAGCCACAUCAUCAAGCAGUUAGAGAAUAAUCAAUGUGUGCCAAGCACACCCUCAAGCAGUGAGAGCGAUCAGAUGGUGGAGGAGACCGAGCAAUUUCACACAAAGAGAAAGAAGCAUCAACCCACAAGCUGAAAGGAGGACGAGAUCCUACUGAUGGGGCAGAUUCCCGGGACAAACACCUCCUGCAGCCGGCAACAAAGGCUCACCGGAGGAGACCUGCACAGAGCACAUCUGCUCAGCUUCCCAGCCGCUCAGCUCAGCAAAGAUAAUGUGUCUUAGGGCCCCGGGGAAGGAAGGAGGGGAGGAAGAACAGGAAUGAAAAAAGAACAGAAGAGAAAGCGGGGGAACAGAAGGGAAGAAGGGGCUCCUCUUAGCAGGUGUGGGUGGGGCAGGCUCCAUGAGGAGUCCUCGCAAGCCUCGGCCUCAGGCCACAGGCAUCACCCGAGUGCACGGCCAGGACUUGCAAAGGACUUACUGGGGCGCCGAGCCUUGAGGCCACUGCUGCCCCUCUAAGGAGCAUGACCCUUCCGGUUUAAGUGAAAAAACAACUGCCAGUCCUAAAAGUGGUCCUUGUCCUUGAGGGCCAGAGCAGGGGGCACACUGCUUCCCACUGGCUACCAUGCCUGCGUGCCACCCAGAGCUGCUCCCGACUUUGGCCUCCACAAGACAGCUCUGGAUGUAGCUUGCUUUCACUUACUUGUCUUUAGAGACAGGGUCUUGCUCUGUUGCCCAGGCUAGAGUGCAGCAGCACAAUCAUAGCUCACUGUAACCUCGAACUCGUAGACUCAAGCGGUCCUCCCACUUCAUCUUCCCCAGUAGCUGGGACUACAGGUGCACACCCCUAGGCCCAGCUAAUUUUUUUAAUUUUUUGUAAAGAGAGGCUCUCAUUAUGUUGCCCAGACUGGUUUCAAACCCCUAGCCUCAAGUGAUCCUCCAUCCUCAGCCUCCCAAAGCGCUGGGAUUACUGGCAUAGGCCACUGUGCCCAGCCCCUCCUUAAAAGAUAAUGUUCUUUAUUGCUGAGAGAGGGCUGGCUGCAGACUCGUUAAUAACUGGCUGUGAGAUCUCACCUACCAGGAAAAUGCCUGUGCCACCACACGGCAGCACGGCGCGUCCACAGCUGUGACAUGAAGGGACCCCUGGUGCCCAGUGCACUGACCUUCUCCUGGUAGAGUUUGUGCAGCCAGGCCGAGCACUUGGCAUCGUCUUCAGGGAUGUCUUCCAGUGGAAUUCUCCUGCAAAGGCAGAGAGCAGCUGGCAGGGAGGAGGCAACGCCCACCUCCCAACAUACACUUUCCAGGAAUGGUGUUGCCAUUUUGUUGUUUUUGUCUAGGUAGCCUAACUCAUGUGGAAGUGAAGAGAAUAACGCAGGUGAUAGAGAGAAGGGGCAUUCCACAUCUACACUGGGGAAAACACAGGCCAAAAUGCAAUUAUGACCCAUUAAGGACCAACGCCGGGCCCAGUUCAGUGGUACAGACAGAUGCUGUCAGAACAGGGAACAUCGCCUCAUUCCAUCCUCCCUCCCACCUCACAAAAAGACCCCAAAACCUGAUAUUUGCCUCUCCCAAAGAGGACAACACAGCCUCAGUUUCCACAUGAAACAAUCCAAUCUACAUAGAACUGAUGCAUCGGAGAUAAUACACUAGUAAUUUCUUAGCCAAGCAACCGACUUCCUGGUAAUGCCAGAUUAUCUCCCAUUAAAUGAUGCCUUUGGCCUCUUGGUUGGCCUUAAGGCAGACUCUGCAAAGGUUCUGACAAGGCAGUGGCAUGGAUGGUGGAGAAUUAAGGUUCUUCCAGAUGGAAGAAGCCAGGGCAUCUUCCCCAGGCUCCAUGGCUCAGGCAGGGAGUCUGUGCACAGCGAGUCACUGUGCACCAGCGACAGCUCAGAGACUCGGGUGGCUCUGGAGACUGCCACUGGCAGGGGCUUGCCACUCUGUCAUCUGCAGAAAGCCCACACUGAACACGGGAGAAGUCACUGCCACCUCUGCCUUCCUAUUUGUUCUCAGGUUUUUGGCUCUUGUGAUUUCAGGGGAUGUUCAUUUAUACUCAGUUUUGUCCAUGUCAAAGUCCGCAUCUGGCUUGACUUCCCGGGUCAUUUCACUGCCUUCUGUGGCCUAGGAAUAUCUUAGUAAGAAGGCUUUAGAGCUUAUCAGUCACACUAGAGUCUGUUAAAAGAAUAAAUGAUGGGAUUCCAUCUUACAACAAAUUAUAAUGAGCCACUUCUUUUGCAAGGCAGUAUUGUACAGAGGUAAGUUUUUCACAUAAUUAGAACUUACCCCGUAAGCUUCUCUGGAAAUAGUCUUUCACCUUUUUUGUUCCUACACACACUGUACUUCUGUGAAUCCUCUACUUCUUUGCUCUCUGAUCUACUCUGCUUUGGAAAUCAGCGCUUGAGUCUGCACAGUAUUUCUUUAGUUGGAUAGUGGGAAUGUUGGGCUCUUUUCAGCAACUUGACAUUAUUGCCCUUGAUGUUUCAGUGCUCUGUACUGAUGUAUGUUCAGAAAAUGCCUCAAUCAUUUUUAAUAGGCAACUACAAGAAGAGAAGAUGUGUGUUGAACAGCAUCAAUGCUAACCUUCCUCUGGGGUCAAGAGUGUGAUCUGGCUUCGGUGAGUGAACAUGCCAGUAUCAUUUCUGGGCUGAUUCUCACACAUGCUUUGGAAAGUCGCAGCUACCUGAGAGGAAAUAACCUUGCACGUGUCUUGGGGUUUUCCCAAAUAUCUGAGCCCAACUGGCCAUCAAGUGGAGCUCCUGCCAGCUUUCAGAGAACACGGGGAAUAAAACCUCGCUUUAUUCCUAGGAGAAGGUCUAAAGGUCCCCUUUAGGCAAGUGGUGAUCCUCCUGCCUUCAUAUGCCACAGAACCGAGUCACAGGGCACACUCUCGCCUGCAUCAUGAGACAAGAAGACAGUGAUGGUGACGAUGUUGUCCUAUUUUUAUGGGAAAGCCAGAGUCGUUUUUAGAUCAGAAGCUACUUAACUCUGGCUGCCAGUCCACCAAAACAUCUCCCAGAAAAGCUUGGACAUUUGGUGUGGCCUGGUGGGAACAAAGGGCCACUGGAUUUUCAUGGUGCCGUGUUGUAACUUGGCUUCCGUAAGGUCUUUAAUCAGAAGGUUCUAUGCCACUGGGUUAGUUCUGCAUUAGUGGGCAUUUCAGAUUCUCUCAGUUAGCAUUCAGAGAAGAUGACCUAUAGCACGACAAGCCAAGACCAUCCCUGGCCCAGGUCACACUAGGCCCAUUCUAUAAGUCAACAAGCAGGCAAGGAGAACUAAUUCGACUAACAUGUCUGGAAGUGUGUUCAAUAAAAUCAUUAAUAGCCUGGAACAUAACACAAAAGUGCGACACUGCAAAAGGGUUUUGCAUUUGUGCCUAGAACACCUUAUAUAAAUACAGAUCUGUGUGUAUUCCAUACAGCACACCCGUCACCCAGGAAAAGGGUCAAUAAGAUAUUCUCUUCACACUGACGCCAAAAUAAUUCUAAAACAUGGCCUUCCCUUUGUUUGGCCUAAGCUCUUUGAUAAGAAAGAGCUGGUUAAAGAGGAUCCAGAAGUAGCUGGCAUGGAAGGAGACUUCAGCAGAUGGCUCACAAUAGCAGAACGUGUACAAGUUCAGCGCAAAACAUUGCAAACAAGUCCGUGUGACCCGGGGUCCCUGGAAGGAAGUCUCUAGGUCAUCUGUGAUGUGUUCACUUUAAGAUGGGCACUGUCUUUUCUGGAAAGGAAAUAGUUUGACUUACCUAACAUACAAAUCUGCAUGAUAUUUCUUUCCGUUUAGGACUCCCAGCAGUGUUGGAUUUUCAUUGUUUCUGAAAUUGAGUGUACAGUCAUAUACAGCUGAAACUAUAAAAAAUAAAACAAAUACAAAGCAGUA